UUUCUUUCUUUCUUUAGGGCCCGAGCGUAGCUGCUAAGCAGCUGCGAGAGCCCUCUUGUUCCUGCAUGUUUCCUUCUUUUGUUAUUAGGGCCCGAGCGUAGCUGCUAAGCAGCUGCGAGAGCCCUAUUAUUCCCCAAGUGGUUUUUCUUUGUUUCUUUUUUCUUUUUCCUCCCCUUUGAACUGGAAAAUGGCCCACUUCCCACUGGCGAAAACUCAUGAAAUUUGGCAGGACGACCGGGCCUGGUGAAAAAUUUGAUAUUCCGAAGUCGCCCAAACAAGAAAAUGCAAAAUGGCUCCAUAGCGCCCCCUAAGGUGAAAAUUCACACUAUUGACUGUCACGCCUGUACGCUUUGUCAAAAUGACACAAAAAUUGACACACACAUGUAUCUCAAUAAGAUCUACAAAAAAGUCAGUGCGGGCGUAUCUGUCAAAUGUACGGUUAAAGGGUUAUUUCGCAUUUUUUGCCGAUCCGCACACAUUGGAAUUUCGCUAACUCCUCCGAAGGCUUUCGUUCCACCGGCACCACAUUUGCUCAGGCCAAUCUACACCCCAUGGCCAUUACAAGUUAUUCAAAUCAUGACGCUGCACCCCACAGUUUAGGUUCUAGGGGGCGCCAAAGAUAACCCUAAAAUCCACAUAUUUAAAAGUCUUAUAACUUUUUAUUUUUGCCCUCACUGGCCUCCAAGUUUUCUAGGAUGAUGCAAUGUCCAGCCAUCAACACAUUUGUGAAGGAAUUUUUACUCCCCAAAAGAGCGCCCCCCAUGGCAGGAGAAAAAAGUCCAUUUUUUCUUGUCCCCUAAGGUGAAAAUACACAUUGUUGAGUGUCACGCCUGUACGCUUUGUAAAAAUGACACAAAAAUUGACACACACAUGUAUCUCAAUAAGAUCUACAAAAAAGUCCAUGCGCGCGUAUCUGUCAAAUGUACGGUUAAAGGGUUAUUCCGCAUUUUUUGCCGAUUCGCACACAUUGGAAUUUCGCUAACUCCUCCGAAGGCUUUCGUUCCACCGGCACCACAUUUGCUCAGGCCAAUCUACACCCCAUGGCCAUUAAAAGUUAUUCAAAUCAUGACGCUGCACCCCACGGUUUACGUUCUAGGGGGCGCCAAAGAUAACCCAAAAAUCCACAUUUUUAAAAGUCUUAUAACUUUUUAUUUUUGUCCUCACUGGCCUCCAAGUUUUCUAGGAUGAUGCAAUGUCCAGCCAUCAACACAUUUGUGAAGGAAUUUUUACUCCCUAAAAGAGCGCCCCCCAUGGCAGGAGAAAAAAGUCCAUUUUUUCUUGUCCCCUAAGGUGAAAAUACACAUUGUUGACUGUCACGCCUGUACGCUUUGGCAAAAUGACACAAAAAUUGACAAUCAUGUGUAUCUCAAUUAGAUCUACGAAAAAGUCAAAGAGCGCGUAUCUGUAUAAUGUACGGUAAAAGGGCUAUUUUGCAUUUUUUGCCGAUUCGCACACAUUGGAAUUUCGCUAACUCCUCCUAAGGCUUUCGUCCCACUGACACCAAAUUUGCUCAGGCCAAUCUACACUCCAUGGCCAUUCAAAGUUGUAAAAAUCAUGACGCUGCACCCCACGGUUUACGUUUUAGGGGGCGCCAAAGAUGACCCCAAUAUACAUUACAGUAGACAAAGUAGUUUUGCCCACUGAGUGGCGCCAAAGGGACUUGUCUGUGGAGUCUGUGAGUCACUAUUGGCCGUUUUUGACUACUUUAGAUUUUACCUUUAUAUUUCCUCUUACAAAAUUUUUACCUUGCCUUGCCUGGUAUCAUUUUUUUCAGCACAACCUCACCUGUGUCAAUUUACAGUUAUUUUAUCAUUUUGACAUACUAUAUUUACACAUUGGACCCAAAUUCACACACAAAACAUAAAAUCCGAGUGGAAAAAAGUAACGUUUUUACUGUGAAAACCACAAAUAUGUGUGAUGAACUGUUUUUAAAACUUAAACUUCAAAUAAAAAUUGUAAACUUCAAAACAUAUGCAAAUUUUUAACAAAGAACAUAGUAAUUUACCUCUAUUGACAUCAAAAUGCAGGCAAUGGCCCAGGUGUUCUUUGUAAAAUUAUUUACAAAACACUGUAUAGUCUCACAAAUGUCACUUUUCAUUAUGCCACUACAAAAAAACAUGAUGUAAAUGAUGCAUGAUGUAAAACAUGAUGUAAAAAACUUGUGUAGAUCCUCCUCUAUGUUAGUCCAUGUGUAAUUUUUCCAUAAUUCUUUGUUUUUUGCAGCAUUUUUGUUAGUGUAACUGCAGAUUGUGCUGACAGUGUCUAUGGCAAAAAAAAAAAAAAAAACUGAAAAUGCCUCAACAUGAACCCCUGGUGGUCUCUGAGGGUGAAACCUGCUAACUGCUGCAGCUCUGUCAGCUUCAGUCUCCCAUGCAGAGCUCGGAGCGCAUGUGUGGCUCUGCACCCUUAGCAGCGUUGCUAACUCCUCAGUAAGGAAAGCCUGCUUCAUGUCAGAGUCUCUAAACUCCAGAAGAAGUCGAUAAAAGUCACUUUCUUUCUAAAAAAAAAGUCGUUAGGGGGUCUGAAAAGUCAUUGAAUCUAACAAAAAAGUCGCUAGGUUUGCAACUACGUGUCCCAGACUGCAUCCCUGCUGAGAGUCCCUCCCUCCCUUCUCAUAUUGCAGGAAGAACGUAAGCGCCCGCCCCUUGUCAAUCAGUCACCAUAUAAUUAGGGCCCGAGCGUAGCUGCUAAGCAGCUGCGAGAGCCCUCUUGUUCCUGAUGGAUUCUUCUUUCGUUAUUUUUCCUCCGCUUUAAACUGGAAAAUGGCCCACUUCCCACUGGCGAAAACUCAGGAAAUUUGGCAGGACGACCGGGCCUGGUGAAAAAUUUGAUAUUCUGAAGUCGCCCAAACAAAAAAAUGAAAAAUGGCUCCAUAGCGCCCCCUAUGGUGAAAAUUCACCUGACGCCUGUACGCUUUGUCAAAAUGACACAAAAUUUGACACACAUGUGUAUCUCAAUAAGACCUACAAAAAAGUCAGUGCGGGCGUAUCUGUCAAAUGUACGGUUAAAGGGCUAUUUCGCAUUUUUUGCCGAUCCGCACACAUUGGAAUUUCGCUAACUCCUCCGAAGGCUUUCGUUCCACCGGCACCAAAUUUGCUCAGGCCAAUCUACACCCCAUGGCCAUUAAAAGUUGUACAAAUCAUGACGCUGCACCCCACGGUUUACGUUCUAGGGGGCGCCAAAGAUAACCCAAAAAUCCACAUUCUUAAAAGUCUUAUAACUUUUUAUUUUUGUCCUCACUGGCCUCCAAGUUUUCUAGGAUGAUGCAAUGUCCAGCCAUCAACACAUUUGUGAAGGAAUUUUUACUCCCCAAAAGAGCGCCCCCCCAUGGCAGGUGAAAAAAGUCCAUUUUUUCUUGUCCCCUAACAUGAAAAUACACAUUGUUGAGUGUCACGCCUAUAAGCUUUGUCAUAUUGACCCAAAAUUUGACAAUCACGUGAAUCUCAAUAAGAUCUACGAAAAAGUCAAUGGGCACGUAUCUGUAAAAUGUACGGUUAAAGGGUUAUUUCGCAUUUUUUCCCGAUCCGCACACAUUGGAAUUUCGCUAACUCCUCCGAAGGCUUUAGUUCCACCGCCACCAAAUUUACUCAGGCCAAUCUACACCCCAUGGCCAUUAAAAGUUGUACAAAUCAUGACGCUGCACUCCACGGUUUAGGUUCUAGGGGGCGCCAAAGAUAACCCAAAAAUCCACAUUCUUAAUAGUCUUAUAACUUUUUAUUUUUGUCCUCACUGGCCUCCAAGUUUUCUAGGAUGAUGCAAUGUCCAGCCAUCAACACAUUUGUAAAGGAAUUUUUACUCCCGAAAAGAGCGCCCCCCCAUGGCAGGAGAAAAAAGUCCAUUUUUUCUUGUCCCCUAAGGUGAAAAAACACAUUGUUGACUGUCACGCCUAUACGCUUUGUCAAAAUGACACAAAAUUUGACAAUCACGUGUAUCUCAAUAAGAUCUACGAAAAAGUCAAUGGGCACGUAUCUGUAAAAUGUACGGUUAGAGGGUUAUUUCGCAUUUUUUGCAGAUCCGCACACAUUGGAAUGUGGCUAACUCCUCCUAAGGCUUUCGUCCCACCGACACCAAAUUUGCUCAAGCCGAUCUACAUCCCAUGGCCAUUCAAAGUUGUAAAAAUCAUGACGCUGCACCCCACGGUUUACGUUCUAGGGGGCGCCAAAGAUGACCCAAAUAUCCACAUUCUUAAAAGAAUCCCCCCCCCCCCCCCCCAAGGCAGGAGAAAAAGUCAAGUUAACCCUGCCCAUCGCUCAAUGGCUCAAUCGCAUCGCUCUCCCGGCAACACCGUAACGAGGAGCAACUUGCCAUUUGGAUAUAUCCUAGCUGUGUUUGUGCCCUCACUCAUGGAUCAGACUUUUUUCAAAUAGGACAUGUAGUUUGUCUGCAGCGACCGUUUUGGUAGAAACUGUGCCUCCCAUUCAUUAUAAUGGGAAAUGACCACAGACAAGUGCGCACACCAUCUUCGGACCUUGAGUGUGACGCGAUCGGGAGGAGGAGGCGGUCGCGCUGGGGGCGGCGCGACGCGGCGCGACGCGGCUCGGGCCCGACAGUGCCCCACCGGGGCCCUAGUUUUGGAUUGGUUGUUGUGGUGAAGUUUUCCACCAAUAGGAGAGAUGUUGUGGUGUGUUUUUUUUUCCUUUGGCAAGCCUUUUCCGCCUGUAAGACCUGUCGCUAAUGUCUGCAUGCUAUGUUUUCCUGUCUCAUACAGCGCGAUCGAGCGCCGAACGUGAUCAAAAUAAGCAGAAAAAAAGUAUCGCGGACAUAAUUUAUCAUAACUCUGGUUUUAUUUGGCCUAUCAACACAAUUUAAAAACUGGUAUAUAGGUUGAGGUCCUCACUUUUGAGAUAAGUUGAAACGGAGUCAACGAGGCUCCGUCUUGCAGCUACAUCCGGUUAAAUAUGUCAUGUGACUUGAACGCACACACACACACACACACACACACACAGACACACGCACACACACACACUCAGAGUCUGGUUUUUAGCACCUGCAAAAACAUGCUAUUUACAUAUUUGACAAGAAUGCAGAGGCUCCUUUUGCCCCUGAAAAAAAUCACAUUUCAAACACAACUUGACUGGUCAUUUCUCCAAAAGACAACCAUGAAGCUCCAUCCAAACCUGAAGCAGGCAGUUGGUGCAUGUGUACAGUAACCUGAGGGGAGUGAGGUGAGUGCUUCUGAGGAGAACAUGAGCAGUGAAGAUUCACCUUACAGCUAGAACAGAGACGUGCACAUGAUUAUACAGGGGCAGGGGCUCAAGUUUUUUCCAGUUGUUUAUACAAUAUGGAAAUUAAUGUGAAAUUAAAAAACAAAGUAUUAAUAGAAAGGUAAUGACUGUCCUGAGUAGGUGACAGUGAUAUCCAAUAGGCUAGGCACUCAAGAGGCUGGCUGUGGCAAGUGUAAGUGAAAGCAACACGCACUGGCAGGAAGAACAGCAAACGCCGAUGAAGGAAAAGGGUCUUUGCAGUGAUGGGCGUUACCAGAGAGGGCGAUGGCCAGAGGACACAAAUGGGACGGGGAGGCAGCGCGUUGGGGGGGGGGACGCGACACAGCUCGGGCCCGCCAGUGCCCCAACGGGGUCCUAGUUAUUAUUAUUAGGGCCCGAGCGUAGCUGCUAAGCAGCUGCGAGAGCCCUAUUAUUCCCCAAGAGGUUUUUCUUUGUUUCUUUCUUUCUUCUUUUUCCUCCCCUUUGAACUGGAAAAUGGCCCACUUCCCACUGGCGAAAACUCAUGAAAUUUGGCAGGAUGACCGGGCCUGGUGAAAAAUUU
rnacentral:lncRNA from 1 species